rnacentral:rRNA from 1 species
UACGAAGGGGGCUAGCGUUGCUCGGAAUUACUGGGCGUAAAGCGCACGUAGGCGGCUUUCUAAGUCGGGGGCGAAAUCCUGGAGCUCAACUCCAGAACUGCCUUCGAUACUGGAGAGCUCGAGUCCGGGAGAGGUGAGUGGAACUGCGAGUGUAGAGGUGAAAUUCGUAGAUAUUCGCAAGAACACCAGUGGCGAAGGCGGCUCACUGGCCCGGUACUGACGCUGAGGUGCGAAAGCGUGGGGAGCAAACAGG